UCACAGGUCGAAGGCAGCAAGAGUAAUUCUAGGCUCAUCCAUUUUCUCUGGACAAGUACAGCAGAGUCUAGCCUGGGUGGAGGAUGUGAAAGGGACACACUUGAGCUGAAAUGUGAUGUCCACAUUUUAAUCCAGAUACAAACUACAGGAGACAACAUACAGGGGUUGUUGCCUCUGUAAGCACUGUGGGCUGUCUCAUGGGCAGGCUAGUUUUAGAGCUCUGGCUUGUUAAUCACUGUAGUAACGCAUGAGUUUUAAGUUAAUUAGUUAACUUCUUUUUACCAAGAUCAAAACACAACUUAACUGUGACGGCCACCAAAGAAGCGUCAAGGUGUCCCUGAGGUUUCUUCAGGCUCUGAAUUAGGACAACUGUUCUCAUCUGGUAUGUUUCUCCUGCCUGAAGAACGUCCUUUACUACUUCCUGUAGUGCAGGUCUGCUGAUUAUGAACUCACUCUAGUUUUGGAAAUAUAAUUUUGUUUGGUGUGAACUUCUCAGUUGGUAGCACUUACAUUCAAUUCCAAAAUAGCUUGGAUCCCAGAUCUGCAUGACCACCUCAAAUGCCAAACCUGGUGUGUACGCUCUCCACUGGCACAAACUCUUCAUCUACUGUGGAUCCAGGUGUCUUCAAGCUCUUGUUCCACUGAUGAAAUGAAGCCUUAUUUUUCUCCAAGCUACUGAGGAUGGAUUCUUAGUUUAGACUUUGUACAGAUAACCGAGGUCUCCCACUUCCAGGAGUCUGGCUCUAAUUCUCUCUGCCUUCUGACCUGGCUUGGGCAGCUAUGGAUAAUGUCUAAGCUAGAAUAAGCUCAGCUCAGUGCCUCUGUGCAUGAUACUUGGCCUGGAGCCUCUCAUCAGAGGCCUCUUUAGUGACAGGCCUCCCCAGAUUCUUGCUCUGUCUGCUUCUCCUACUCAUCUGGUUCAGCAAGUCAUCCGGCUGAGUUCACCCCAUGUUAUGACAUUAUUUAGACUGUUCCUUUCAGUUUAGAAUAUGAAACAAGGAUAAAUCAUUCAACCUCCAUCAUCUGUUUAACCCCUGUGUAAUCUGUCUGAGGAAUAUAAUGAUAAUUACCUUUUUCAGGGACAGAAUUAGGGGGGCAGUCAAUUAAGGCUUGCACUGUGCUUUGAGAUCUUUCAAUAAAAGGCUCAGGGUUACUACUGUUAACAAGAUACCAGAGGGAGAUUUGCCAGCAGUGCCUCCUUUUGAGCCAGCAUGUCUGUCAUUAGUAAUUUGGGGGCUUGGCACAGAGUCAUGGGAAUGUUUUAAUGGCUUCUGUUCAACCCCAGAAAUAGAUUGUGAAGUUGCUAAAAGAAUUGCUUGUUUUCUCUGCUCUCCUCUAGUUCUGUACACAUGGGGACUCUCUGGGGGAAGAUUUUAGGCUCUCUACAAGGGCCAGAAGAGUGGGCAAUGGGUCUUACACUGCCCAAAUGAACUCUAAUACAAAAUACUGCCCAGGUCUGUUCCAGGGAUUGAUUUAGAGAUUAGUUAUACCAUCACAGAGGAAUUUUGGCUUAAGAUGACAUUUUGGAUCUACCUGGAGAACUUACUAAUUCAGUGAGAUUUAAGAGUGUGAAGUAAAAGACUCCUCCUCUAAGAAAUAUUUUGAAAACACUUAUUAAUUUGAACAAGUUAUUUUAUUUCUUAGCCAACUCCCAAAUUCUUUUCAGGGCUGUCUUUAUGAGUCAAGAAAAAAAAUGUUUUCUGUCUGGAUGGUCUAAACUUGUUUUUCUAGGACAUGAGUAAAUAAUAUAUAUGUUCAAUCAGGCUUGUGUCUGGGCCCUCAUUGGGAAAGUCAAUGCUACAGGUUAAUUUCCAGCCUAUUAGUAAACUUUUCCUUUAAAAGCAGUCACUUGUCCCUGAAUGUCAGUUUUGCCCCUUCUUUUUUGUUCAAUUCUUUGCUUUAUUAUUAAUCAGUUAUUUUCUGUUUGUCAGGACAACAUUAGUAACUUGGGGAAAAGCAGAUGUGUUAGAACUAGUUUGACUCUUGCUAAUGGUGCCCUUGGGCAAGUCACUUAGCCUCUCUGAGUUUCAUUUCACCCUCUGAGAGAUAAUACAGGAACAGGCUCAGCAGUAUGAAUGGUAUUAUUGAGUCAAAGGGAGUGUAACUACUUCAGACACAAAGGGUAACAGAAACCAAGGAAAAAUCUCAAUACAAAUCCAUAGUGUAUGGUGGGGAUUGUGGCGAGUCUGAGCAUUUAUGGUCCAUCUGCAAGGAGCAGCCGUUAUUCUACUAUAACAAAUGUUUCUAUAUCAUUUCUUUCUUUUUGAAGAAAACAA